UUAAGUAUUUAAUGUACAAAAAUAAAUUAAAUUAAACUAAAUAUAUGUACAAUUAUUAUUAUUAUUAUUUAUUAUUAUGAUUACAAGCGACCUCAACAACACCAAAUAAACCAAAUAAUAUUUAAUGUUAAUAAUGAUUUAUUCCGAUUUUUUUAUAAAGGAAGAUUAUGUUUGCGUACCACCUAUGAGCUUUCCACGUACCAUAGGUUGAGAAGCGCUGGUAUAAAGUAUAUAUUUUGUUCAUAUUAAAAAUUAACUAAUAAAUUAUUGCCUGUAGCUAUCCCAGGUACGUGUUGUUUUUUUAUUUUUUGUAUAUAUUUAUGGUAUUUUGCGUUUUUAUUUCAUUGAUUGUAAUAGUGAAUAUGCUUCUUUCUCAAUAUUCUGAAAACUAUAAUACAGUAGAUACACUGAAUCAUCAGUUUUACUCUUUUAUCACUCAGCACCUUAAAACACCUUAAUUUAUCGUAUAUGUUUAAUAAUAAUUUAUUACUUAAAAUUAUAAUAUCUUUUUUUUAGGAAAUCGAUCUGAACAAAUACAAAAAUUUACUAAGGCCGUAGUAUGGGAAAUAGCAGACCAUUAUCAACAAUCUAUCAAACAAAUGAUAAAUCAAGAAGAGUUAGUUACCAUACCAGGCAUAGUGAACAAAUAUUGUAUUUUUUUCAAUAUAAACGAUGUUGAAGUUCAAACAAAAUAUUAUUCAGAGCGUUUUAAGAAGGCUAUUUCGACGAUAAUACAGCACCCGCAUUGGUUUAAUAAUUAGAUUAGGUUAGGACUAUUUCGGAUGACAAUGAAACUUUCUUUAAAAAAAAAGUUUUAUAAUGAAAUAGUCAACAUUUUACUUUUUUUUUUUUAAAUUAUUAAUUUUAAUUU